UACGAAGGGGGCUAGCGUUGUUCGGAAUCACUGGGCGUAAAGCGCACGUAGGCGGACUUUUAAGUCAGAGGUGAAAUCCCAAGGCUCAACCUUGGAACUGCCUUUGAUACUGGGAGUCUUGAGUUCGGGAGAGGUGAGUGGAACUGCGAGUGUAGAGGUGAAAUUCGUAGAUAUUCGCAAGAACACCAGUGGCGAAGGCGGCUCACUGGCCCGGUACUGACGCUGAGGUGCGAAAGCGUGGGGAGCAAACAGG
rnacentral:rRNA from 1 species